UCGGCGAGGGUUCGUGCGAGGGGUCCGAUGAGAGGGAUGUCAAGCUAGUGAAUGGGAAUUUCCAAUUCUCUCAAAUGCGGCCACAUGAAACACGACGAGGACUUGAGGACGUGAUUCCUUGUGGUUGACCCCAGUUGUCUAACACUGCUUUUUCCUACGUGGCACUACAUGAAUAGAGGGUUGUUUUUAUCUCAUUUACAGCCCGAUCGGCGUGAAGCGUUUCCCAUCUUUUAAAUCCCCUUCUUCACCCCCGCACCUAAUUUUCGGUCACUUUCCUCUCUCUCUCUCUCUCUCUCUCUCUCUAGAUUUAACAUUCUCACUGGGAUUUUCGAUCGUUGCCACCAACAUCGUCUUCUCGUCAACACCGGCCAGUUUCUCUAACUUUAUCAAUCAUGCUCUCUCUCUCUCUCUCUCUAACUCUCGCUCAAAUUCGAGACAUUCAAAGAGAAAUGGUUACUCUCUCUUUGGUGUCGCCAAGGAAAUUACCUCAAGUUCCAUGAUGCCAUAAAGAAGGCUUAUCCAGAUUGUGACAAGUUUUCUCAAAAGUUGGAUCACCCUGUAGAUUUGUAUAAUUAUCAUGUAAAAUUCUCAUCUUCAUUUCUUGUAUUGAUAUGUGAAUGGAGCCAUUUCAAUGAUCUUUUUAUGUCUUAUGAUAUGAAUGCCUUUUGUCCUUCGUUGGGCAACGAGGGACAAUAUCGUCUUACUCUAGUGUUUUGGUUAGGUUAAUACAUCUGCCAAGGACAUGUUUUCAAUGGCUCAUCGGUUCGAUCUUGCAUCACGUGACGGUCCAAAGGCUUUUGUAAGUGAGUAUGUUGUAACUGGGAAAGAUGCUGGCAAAGGAACUCUUUUAGCAGCACUAGUCGAGGCUGCAUUCCUUAUUGGAAUUGAACAUAAUAGGUUUGAUGUAAUUUUUAAACUUGCUUACUGUGAAAUUGUGCUUGCAAUUAUUUCAAUUCAGUCCAAAUUUGACGAUUCAUUUUUCCUCCAAAGCUUUCUUUAGGGGAGGGAACCGUGCUCGGAAGAUGCUGAGUUUUCCCUAGUCGUUUGCCUAAUCUAAAGUUAGAAUUGUGUUCUAAAAGCGAAUUAAACAUGUGCAUUAUUAUUAAAAAAAUGUUUAUUUUCUCAUAUAAUCCAAGUCAUGGAUGUUUACUACUCAUGUAUAUAAUCCGACAAACAUAGUAUAAUCAGGAUUGGGAUCCCUUGAGCUUAUGGGGACUUGGAACAGCUGACAUUGCAACCUCUACGGUCCAAAACAGAUGCAUUUCAACAACUUAUUGAAAUUGGUGAAUUGCUUUGUGUAAUCUAAUACAUAUCAAUCACCCUAUCAUCUUUAAUUUUAUUAAACUAAUGAAUCUAAGAUUAAUAGAUAAAGACAUGUAGGCACAAAUAUUGCUGAACAUGAGAACCUUUUCAGCAAAAAAGAUCGAACAAGACCAAAUUCAUUUUCAGACCCUUGCUGCUUUUCAAUAGUAGAAUGGUCCUGCUUGUUACAGGCCACACGUGUGCAUGUCUGUAUGUCUGUGUG